UACGGGGGGGGCAAGCGUUGUUCGGAAUUACUGGGCGUAAAGGGCUCGUAGGCGGCCAACUAAGUCAGACGUGAAAUCCCUCGGCUUAACCGGGGAACUGCGUCUGAUACUGGAUGGCUUGAAUCCGGGAGAGGGAUGCGGAAUUCCAGGUGUAGCGGUGAAAUGCGUAGAUAUCUGGAGGAACACCGGUGGCGAAGGCGGCAUCCUGGACCGGCAUUGACGCUGAACGGCGAAAGCUAGGGGAGCAAACGGG
rnacentral:rRNA from 1 species